UGCAAAGACAAAUAAAAAAAGUAAGAGAACACUUGUCUAAUCUUGAUGAAUACAAAAUCACCCAGAACUGAUGGAUUACAUCCCAGCAUUCUAAAGGAG